AUGCUAUUGUUAAUGCGUAUUUUAAUUUACCUUUUUUAUAUAGCUUACUGUGAGCACCUUGAGUGUUCUGUAUAUUCAUAAAGAAUAUAGAUAGGCCUCCAGGGUCUUUGAUUCAGUCUGAAAGGUACUUUAAAGCCUGCAUGGGUAUGAAGGUUACAUGCCUCUGCAAUUCCUUAAAAUCAAACAUAUCUUUUCCAAGGAUUGUAUUAUUGCCCUCCAUAGCUAUUGUGCAAUCUUAAAAAAGAAGACUCAGUUGGUUUAAGGAAUGGAAGUACUUCAGAGCAGGUGGAGUUGGAAGGUAGCAUCUGGACUUCACACACAGCCCUGAUAUGGAUCUAUCCAACAACAUUCUAGGACAAUCCCCUCUGAAUCCUUCAAGCAGGCUUGAAACAGAAAAACUAAUCACAGUCUUGAAAGUUAUCCACACUACAUUCUGCGAGGGGAGCAACACUACUGACCAUGGUGCUCAUCGUAAAAGAGCAGACUGGAUUUUGCUUCCCUUGGACCAGUGCAACUAAAUGGGCAAGCAUGACAACCCUUUGAUUUCUCAGAAGCCUUCUGAAGACAGAAAAAGAGCAGAAAUAUGGACUAAAUUUAAGAAGUGUGAUUGGAUUUGGAAAUAAAAGGGAGAAAAAAAAUCUUUUCCAUGGAAAAAAGGAUUUAUGGUGAUACUGGAAAAGAAAUGUUGCAAUUGUAAACAUUAAGUGUAGAAGUUAGGCUUUCCAAAAUCAGAUCAAUAGGCAGGUAUCUGCAAAAGUUGCCAGUUUGUGGCCGAAGAUAGAGGUGGAAUUGGAAUUACAGUGUACCUCGGUACUCAUCAUGAAUUGGCAGCCAACACUGACAAGUUCUAGCUAGUGCAUUGAGUACCAAAUAAACCAUGACUGCCAGACAAAAAUUUCAUGUCAGAAUGCGUUGAGAACCAAAUUCGAUAAGUUUCAAAGCAGUUGGGUGACUCAUUUGGUUUACAAUCAACUAUCUAGUUAGUUAGGAUUUACUUCCACAAGACAAGCCCAGAAUGAUACUCUAGAUUUCCUUUCUGUACUAUUUCUUCAUUAAAAUAUGACUGAAAUGCAUGUGAGAAAGGUGUGUUUCUAUUUUUAUGUAUGAAAAAGCAAAUGUUGUCUUGGAAACAGACUUAUCUGAAGUUUAUUGCAAACAGAGAAUGUGCUAGUGCAGAUUUCCUCAAAUUGGGGACUUCCAUAUGUUGGUUUCAACUCUCAUUAUUGUGUUGACUAGAAAUGGGUACAACUGGGUGUUGUACGCCAAUACAUCUGGAAAGCAUACUCUGGGGGAAUAAUCACACAAAGACCAAGACAACUGAUUUUACAGAUCAGUUCCCGAGAACAUUAUAAAAACAUCAUCAUUCUGAUACUAAUUCAUAUCUCACAACC